UAAGGAAUAUUGGUCAAUGGGCGCAAGCCUGAACCAGCCAUGCCGCGUGCAGGAAGACGGCCCUAUGGGUUGUAAACUGCUUUUGUCAGGGAGUAAACCCCCGCUCGUGAGCGGGGCUGAAGGUACCUGAAGAAUAAGCAUCGGCUAACUCCGUGCCAGCAGCCGCGGUAAUACGGAGGAUGCAAGCGUUAUCCGGAUUCAUUGGGUUUAAAGGGUGCGCAGGCGGAUUGGUAAGUCAGGGGUGAAAUCCCACAGCACAACUGUGGAACUGCCUUUGAUACUGUCAGUCUAGAGUAUAGUUGAAGUGGGCGGAAUGUGUCAUGUAGCGGUGAAAUGCUUAGAUAUGACACAGAACACCGAUCGCGAAGGCAGCUCGCUAAGCUAUAACUGACGCUCAUGCACGAAAGCGUGGGGAUCAAACA
rnacentral:rRNA from 1 species